UACGAAGGGGGCUAGCGUUGCUCGGAAUUACUGGGCGUAAAGCGCACGUAGGCGGCUUCUUAAGUCGGUGGUGAAAUCCUGGAGCUCAACUCCAGAACUGCCUUCGAUACUGAGAAGCUCGAGUCCGGGAGAGGUGAGUGGAACUGCGAGUGUAGAGGUGAAAUUCGUAGAUAUUCGCAAGAACACCAGUGGCGAAGGCGGACUCGCUGGCCCGUACUGGACGCUGAGGUGCGAAAGCGUGGGAGCAACAGGG
rnacentral:rRNA from 1 species